rnacentral:rRNA from 1 species
UGGGGAAUUUUGGACAAUGGGCGCAAGCCUGAUCCAGCAAUGCCGCGUGCAGGAUGAAGGCCUUCGGGUUGUAAACUGCUUUUGUACGGAACGAAAAGGUGCCUUCUAAUAAAGGGCGCUCAUGACGGUACCGUAAGAAUAAGCACCGGCUAACUACGUGCCAGCAGCCGCGGUAAUACGUAGGGUGCGAGCGUUAAUCGGAAUUACUGGGCGUAAAGCGUGCGCAGGCGGUUUUGUAAGACAGAGGUGAAAUCCCCGGGCUCAACCUGGGAACUGCCUUUGUGACUGCAAGGCUGGAGUGCGGCAGAGGGGGAUGGAAUUCCGCGUGUAGCAGUGAAAUGCGUAGAUAUGCGGAGGAACACCGAUGGCGAAGGCAAUCCCCUGGGCCUGCACUGACGCUCAUGCACGAAAGCGUGGGGAGCAAACA